UACGAAGGGAGCUAGCGUUGUUCGGAAUUACUGGGCGUAAAGGGUACGUAGGCUGUUAUGUAAGUUAGGUGUGAAAUUCUUGGUCUUAAGCUAAGGACUGCACUUAAUACUGCAUGACUUGAGUAUGGGAGAGGACAGAGGAAUUCCUAGUGUAGAGGUGAAAUUCGUAGAUAUUAGGAGGAACAUCGAUGGCGAAGGCAUCUGUCUGGAACAUAACUGACGCUUAGGUACGAAAGUGUGGGGAGCAAACAGGAUUAGAUACCCUGGUAGUCCACACCGUAAACGAUGAGUGCUAGAUGUUGGUAUUAUGUAUCAGUGUCUGAGCUAACGCAUUAAGCACUCCGCCUGGGGAGUACGAUCGCAAGAUUA
rnacentral:rRNA from 1 species